rnacentral:rRNA from 1 species
GGGGGAAUUUUGGACAAUGGGCGAAAGCCUGAUCCAGCAAUGCCGCGUGUGUGAAGAAGGCCUUCGGGUUGUAAAGCACUUUUGUCCGGAAAGAAAUGGCUCUGGUUAAUACCUGGGGUCGAUGACGGUACCGGAAGAAUAAGGACCGGCUAACUACGUGCCAGCAGCCGCGGUAAUACGUAGGGUCCAAGCGUUAAUCGGAAUUACUGGGCGUAAAGCGUGCGCAGGCGGUUGUGCAAGACCGAUGUGAAAUCCCCGGGCUUAACCUGGGAAUUGCAUUGGUGACUGCACGGCUAGAGUGUGUCAGAGGGGGGUAGAAUUCCACGUGUAGCAGUGAAAUGCGUAGAGAUGUGGAGGAAUACCGAUGGCGAAGGCAAUCUCCUGGACCUGUACUGACGCUCAUGCACGAAAGCGUGGGGAGCAAACAGGAUUAGAUACCCUGGUAGUCCACGCCCUAAGCGAUGUCAACUGGUUGUUGGACGGCUUGCUGUUCAGUAACGAAGCUAACGCGUGAAGUUGACCGCCUGGGGAGUACGGCCGCA